rnacentral:sRNA from 1 species
AUGUUUAACGAAACUGAAGGCCAAAGUCUAGGCAAGAGUAAAUACUGCUCUAAGGCAGCCAACAAGGUUACUGUUUGCCUCCUCCAUGUGCAGCUUUCCAGGAGGCCUGAAAAGUCUCUCCCGCCCAUGUGAUAGGCUGAGGAGCACAAACUGAUCCUGAGUUUGGUAGAACUCUUGUAUGUUGGAGAAGAUCACAGCUUUAGUGCUGUUUGGGGAAUACUGGUGACUAUUCAGGCAGGGUGGUGACAUUGCCCUACAAUCAGACAAUACAGGACCUGAGCAGAGUUCCAGUUGUAAAGAACGAAGGACGCGGCUUAUGUAACACGGGGUUUACCAUCCUGACCAUUCACACGUGAAAUAGAAAAGGAUGCUGCCCCUCUGGCCGGCAAGGUCUCCCAGAGCCUAUGGACAGAAUGAACAAUUGACUGGAGCUGGAUAAAAGACAGGGAUUGUUCUUCAAAGAAUCCAAACUCUUUCUCUGAAGAAGCUUUGGGGUUAUAAAAGUUCCGGUGGGAGAGAUGCCAUGUGCCAGCUCCGCCUGCGACGGAGUGGGGGCUGUCCUCUCAUUUGGUUGCCACACAGCGAAGCCAUGUUCUUCGGUGUUUCUGGAAGCUCCGUCCUCCUCCACGGAACUCCGGAAAGAAUCCGGAUGGCUUCGGAACUCAGCGGGGAAAAGAAGAGUGAUAUCCCAGUCUCGGUGUCUGACGAACUUCGGCGCAUUCGGAGAUACUUGAUAAAAGUGCUUUUUUGUGGGCUGAAUCCAGAGUGGUACAGGAGCUGGUUCUAAAGAUGCCAUGCUUAGCCCAGAAGGUAAGGGGGUGGGAGCUCCUAGGAUGAGGAGGCUGAUACUUGUCAUCUAGUUUGAUAAGUCGGACACUGGGAUGAGAACGAAAAUGGUGCCCGAAGUCAAGGGCAGAGAAGGAGGUAGAGCAGUCACUGCAUUUGGUCUGAGCUUGGCUGGGUUGUCCCAUGUCCCUCUUCGAGGGGACCUUGGAAGGAGGGAGCCGGGGAGAGGAGAAGUAGAUUGAUUCUACUUGUGAGCAAUUCCAUUUUUUCUUUGAUUCUCAGAAUGUAGUUUAAUGGUAGAGUAUAUGCUUGGUGUACACAAGACACUUGUGUGUUCAAACCUCCAGCACUCACCAGCCCAAAAGGACAUGAAUAAGGAGAACAAAUAAAAACAUACCGUGGCUUUAAAUUUUUGAUUGAUUCUAUGUGCUCUCUUCUUAAAUGCCUGGUGCACAGUCUAAAAAGCUUUGCAUUUGGAAUGUGAGAAAUGCCUAUUAAAUUCAACUUCUGUCGAUAUUCGGGAACUAUAAAACUGUUACUUGUUUGGUUUAGAUAUUACCCACCUUUCUCCAACUCCCAGAAUGCAGUCUUUCUAGUCUAUAACUUAACGAUCCAAAGGGAAAUCUUUCUCAAUGCUCAUCUGAAAUGACUUCCGGGCUGGAUCCUUUCUGGCUCAGUCAUCUUUUGUUUUUAUAAUGCUCCAAAGAUUCAAGGAUGAAAGCAUUGCCUAUAGCCUUCUUUAAAAUGUCUACAAUGUUUCCCUUGACAGUGUGAAGACAAGGAAACUGUGAAUAACAAAGCAUUUUACACAAAGAAAACAGAGUCUCUGCAAAACAAAGUAACUGUAGGACUGUAUGACCGUUUGUGGUUAGGAACAUAGCACCCUUCUGAAUCUCCAUGUAGUUAAAAUAGACAUUACUUCUAGCUUCAGACUUUCCAGAAGGGAGCCAAAAAGAAAAAAAUCCAAUCCAUGCAGAAAAUAUACACAUAAUUAUGUACAAGUUUUUGAGGAAUUUGAAAAAGAAAAUAGCAAUGUUUCCUAACAGCUGAUCGUCAUUUUUAAGGUUUACCUUUUUAAAAAAAAUUAUCUAAUUUUAAUCAUGUGUAUGUCUAGGUGUGGGUAUGUGAGCUUGAGUGUGGAUGCUCUCCUGGAUCUGCUAGAAUUGACAUUACAGGCUGUGAUGUGCGUGUUAGGACCUAACUCUGCAAGAGCAACGGUCAGUCUCCCCCCACCGGAGCCAUCUACCUCUCCAGCCCAAUCUAAGCUCAACGUUUAGAACGAGAAGGAAAAAAUUAUUUUGCAGAAAGAUGCCAACCGAAUUGUACAGAACUCUUUAACACUUCUAGGGGAAAAGACGUGCCGUAAGUCAAAGGAACUUCAAAAAUCAGAUGACUCUUCCUUUAAUGUAAAACUGUAUCCUCUAUUCUCUGACACGUCCUUCAACCACAGGAUUUCCUUUUAACAAAACCUCACAAAAUUUAAAGCGACUAUCAGGAGACAGAUACUAAGACAGAAGACAGUCUUG